rnacentral:rRNA from 1 species
UACAGAGGGUGCAAGCGUUAAUCGGAAUUACUGGGCGUAAAGCGUGCGUAGACGGUUACAUAAGUCGGGUGCGAAAGCCCCGGGCUCAACCUGGGAAUUGCAUUCGAGACUGCGUAGCUAGGGUGCGGAAGAGGGAAGCGGAAUUUCCGGUGUAGCGGUGAAAUGCGUAGAUAUCGGAAGGAACACCAGUGGCGAAAAGCGGCUUCCUGGUCCAGCACCGACGUUCAGGCACGAAAGCGUGGGGAGCAAACAGG